CGGGGGGCUCGCAUAUGGGAGGAAAGUUUAGGCUACGAGAUCAUGGUUGCUCGAGAGACCUACUGUCGCCUUCUUUGAAAAUUUGCUGGUCGUUAUGUGAUUUUAGUUUUUAUUGUUCCCUGGUACUUGUUGGAUUUCGAUGGGAGAUGACACAACUUGGCUCGAUUUUCUUUAUAAUCUAGUUCUUAUCUGUGGAAAUUUUGUAUGGAGGCUAGGCUAAUCUCUGCGUUGUUGCAUGAGAUUGAUUGUUUAUUUCCCCUUUCCAUGUAGUCGCCCUUUAAUAAUUCUGAGAGCAGGGCUAUAG
rnacentral:lncRNA from 1 species